ACGGGAGGCAGCGGUAGGGAAUAUUGCACAAUGGGGGAAACCUUGAUGCAGCGACGCCGCGUGAGUGAUUGAAGUAUUUCGGUAUGUAAAGCUCUAUCAGCAGGGAAGAUAAUGACGGUACCUGCAUAAGAAGCCCCGGCUAACUACGUGCCAGCAGCCGCGGUAAUACGUAGGGGGCAAGCGUUAUCCGGAUUUACUGGGUGUAAAGGGAGUGUAGGUGGUCUGGUAAGUCAGAUGUGAAAGCCCGCGGCUCAACUGCGGGACUGCAUUUGAAACUAUCAGACUAGAGUGCAGGAGAGGAAAGUGGAAUUCCUAGUGUAGCGGUGAAAUGCGUAGAUAUUAGGAAGAACACCAGUGGCGAAGGCGGCUUUCUGGACUGUAACUGACACUGAGGCUCGAAAGCGUGGGGAGCAAACAGGAUUAGAUACCCUGGUA
rnacentral:rRNA from 1 species